UCGGGAAUUUUGGGCAAUGGGCGAAAGCCUGACCCAGCAACGCCGCGUGAAGGAUGAAGUAUUUCGGUAUGUAAACUUCGAAAGAAUGGGAAGAAUCAAUGACGGUACCAUUUAUAAGGUCCGGCUAACUACGUGCCAGCAGCCGCGGUAAUACGUAGGGACCAAGCGUUGUUCGGAUUUACUGGGCGUAAAGGGCGCGUAGGCGGCAUGACAAGUCACUUGUGAAAUCUCUGGGCUUAACCCAGAACGGCCAAGUGAUACUGUCGCGCUAGAGUGCAGAAGGGGCAAUCGGAAUUCUUGGUGUAGCGGUGAAAUGCGUAGAUAUCAAGAGGAACACCUGAGGUGAAGACGGGUUGCUGGGCUGACACUGACGCUGAGGCGCGAAAGCCAGGGGAGCAAACGGGAGUUAGAUACCCCUGUAGUCCCUGAGCGGGCUGGCAAGGCGCAU
rnacentral:rRNA from 1 species